rnacentral:tRNA from 1 species
GGCUUUAUAGUCAACAAUGACAUUAGACUGCAAUUCUAAAGGAGUAAAAUUUACUAAGGCUU